rnacentral:tRNA from 1 species
UGCAAGAUGGCUGAGGAAAAGCGGAAGACUGUAGAUCUUUUUACGGACUAAAUGUUCUCUUGUAA